CUCAGUUAUUUUGUCUAACCCCUCCAUGUGAUGAUUUUCUACAAAAAAAAGAAAGAAAAGAAAAUUCUCUGGCAGGGGUCAAGAGCGGAAGUGACAUAUUUAUGUUGCAUUUUUCAUGCGAAAAUGUGCCCUGACCAAAACAAUCCCUAUCCCCAACGUCAGUAAAGAAAUGUUUUUAUUAUUAUAAUUAUUAUUAUUUUAAAAUGUGCCCAAAUAAAAUAAAUCUUAAACCUAACCGUCAGUAACUUCCGGUAUCCACGACCCAACCGCGUUUGCAGUUCUGCCCAUGGUCCCGCCCCAUAUCUGGCAGCCAAUGGGGGCGGCCCAAUUUCAAAUUAGGGCUCACCGCGCGUGUCGUUCGCAAAAAAUAACUGCCGCUGCUGAAGAGAAGCAAAGAAGACCACCGAGCUGGAGAAGAGCUAAAAAACGCAAUUUAUAGAUUACAAUGGCAUUUGCCAAUUAUUAUAUCAAGGACAAGACUGUGGAAGAUGGGAAGAUUUCAUGAAUAAGUCCUGACGACCGGCAAUUAUGUCCAACAACAGUAAAUCACUCAGUGCCCUGAUCUGGAAGAAGACGAAUGGAUGGAGAUAAAGGGGGAGAUUAACGACAGGAAAAAGUCAAACGGCCCAGCCUUUUUUCCUGGAAAGGUUUUGAUGACUGCUGAGCUUCCAGGAGUAGUAGUGACAAGGCCCCAACACCUCCAUCAACCUGGUCAACACACCACCUGGAGAUUGCCUACCUUCUGCACAGAGCUCUCAAGUGUUAUCUGAGCCUGAUGAUAUGCUCAUGCCCAGGCGAAAUUCCCUGACCACCAUGCAAGAUGUGAGACGAAUAAUAAGACAGAAGUACAACAACACCAAGCAAGUAAACGAAAAGAAGUCCUAAAUGUCAACAUAUUAUGUAAAAAUAAAUAUGAAAUAAAUAAAUCAAACUUAUUUUCAA